AAAAGUUGGAAAGAAACAAGAAAAAGUAAUGUUGAAUGGGGACAAUACUUUUCACUGAUUGGUAUAGCACAGUUUCAAAUUGUGAUUCAGCAUAUCACUAGAGAGCAGAGAAUGACAGACAUAAAAGCAGGCAAAGGAGAUCCAAAAUAUGCAUAAUUGGUACUUCUAAUUUAGAGAACCAGAUGAAAAUAUAACUCAAGAAAACUUGCCAGAAAUUGUAAGGACAUAAAAUAUACUAGGAGAAAAAUCUAGCAUAUCAAAAUCACACCAUAACCACCUUAUAAAUCUUGUAGACUUAAAGCUAAAGAAUCUUUUCAUUAUCUAGGCAAAAAGAUAAGAGAAAAAUUAGUGCUGGCCUUGGACUUCUUCACAGCAACAUUCAGUGUUGGAACAAGGUGGACUAAUCCUUUAAAACACUGAAGGAAGCCCGGUGCAGUGGCAUAUACCUGUAAUCCCAGCAGCUCAGGGAGGCUGAGGCAGGAAAAUCACAAGUUGAAAACCUGCUUCAGCAAAAGUGAGGCACUAAGCAAUCAGUGAGACCCUGUCUCUAAACAAAAUGCAAAAUAGGGCUGGGGAUGUGACUCAGUGGCUGAGUGUCCCUGAGUUUAAUCCCUGGUACCAAAACAACAACAACAAAAAAAAAAAAAAAAAAAAAAAAAAAUGGAAAGAAAGAAUGUGUGAAUCAAGAAUAGUAUGUCCACAUGAAGUAUCAUUUGCAUAAAACAACAACAGCUAAAACAACAUCAACGAAAUAUAUCUUGACAUGAAAGAAUAAUGAGAGAAUUCUCUUUAUAUGAACACUUUCUGAAGAAUUUGGCAGAAUUUUAGCUAUCCAGAAGCAGAGUGAAGAAAUAAAAAAAAGGACAUGAUUAAUAGAAUGUAAAUAUUAUAAAAACUGAAAGUGUGGAAAUAAUGUACAUAGUAAAAAUUGGUUUAAAAAGGAGAUAAAGUUUACAUAAUAAAGUUGUGCACAACUUUCUCAUUUUUAAAUACUAGGGAGCAUUAAUGAGUUAGUAAUUCAAGUAAUAUAAAUAGAAUCAGAAAAUUAUAGAAGAAAACACUGAUAAAAUUAGAAAAGGUAGUCAGAUGUUUUUGUGGGUGCUUUGGUUGGGAUGUAGUCUAUCCGCCAAAGAUUCAUAUGUUGGAAGCCUGGCCUCCAAUUUGGCGGUAUUGAGAAAUAGUGGAUCUUUAAG
rnacentral:lncRNA from 1 species